CCCAAUUGAUUGAUGGUGCUUGCACCUGAUUGAUUUUGGCCGCCAACGAGUGGCGGACGGGUGAGUAACACGUAGGUAACCUGCCCAGAAGCGGGGGACAACAUUUGGAAACAGAUGCUAAUACCGCAUAACAACGUUGUUCGCAUGAACAACGCUUAAAAGAUGGCUUCUCGCUAUCACUUCUGGAUGGACCUGCGGUGCAUUAGCUUGUUGGUGGGGUAACGGCCUACCAAGGCGAUGAUGCAUAGCCGAGUUGAGAGACUGAUCGGCCACAAUGGGACUGAGACACGGCCCAUACUCCUACGGGAGGCAGCAGUAGGGAAUCUUCCACAAUGGGCGCAAGCCUGAUGGAGCAACACCGCGUGAGUGAAGAAGGGUUUCGGCUCGUAAAGCUCUGUUGUUAAAGAAGAACACGUAUGAGAGUAACUGUUCAUACGUUGACGGUAUUUAACCAGAAAGUCACGGCUAACUACGUGCCAGCAGCCGCGGUAAUACGUAGGUGGCAAGCGUUAUCCGGAUUUAUUGGGCGUAAAGAGAGUGCAGGCGGUUUUCUAAGUCUGAUGUGAAAGCCUUCGGCUUAACCGGAGAAGUGCAUCGGAAACUGGAUAACUUGAGUGCAGAAGAGGGUAGUGGAACUCCAUGUGUAGCGGUGGAAUGCGUAGAUAUAUGGAAGAACACCAGUGGCGAAGGCGGCUACCUGGUCUGCAACUGACGCUGAGACUCGAAAGCAUGGGUAGCGAACAGGAUUAGAUACCCUGGUAGUCCAUGCCGUANACGAUGAGUGCUAGGUGUUGGAGGGUUUCCGCCCUUCAGUGCCGGAGCUAACGCAUUAAGCACUCCG
rnacentral:rRNA from 1 species